AAGUAAAAUCAAGGAUGUGCUGGCUUAAUUGCAUUGUGCACUCCUAACCAAAUAUCCUUACACCCUGUGCACUUCGGCUAGGCACCUGUGGGGAUCUCUCCCCAAUGGUUUACCUAUGCUUUUAUUUUUACACAURUUGUAAGUCUAUGAAUGAACUGAAUGCAAAA
rnacentral:misc_RNA from 1 species